AUUGAACGCUGGCGGCAGGCCUAACACAUGCAAGUCGAACGAGUGGCGGACGGGUGAGUAAUGUCUGGGAAACUGCCUGAUGGAGGGGGAUAACUACUGGAAACGGUAGCUAAUACCGCAUACCAUCAGAUGUGCCCAGAUGGGAUUAGCUAGUAGGUGGGGUAAUGGCUCACCUAGGCGACGAUCCCUAGCGGGUCUGAGAGGAUGACCCGCCACCCUGGAACUGAGAAACGGCCCAGACUCCUACGGGAGGCAGCAGUGGGGAAGAUUGCACAAUGGGCGAAAGCCUGAUGCAGACAGGCCGCGGGUGUGAAGAAGGCCUUAGGGUUGUAAAGUACUUUCAGCGGGGAGGCGUUACUCGCAGAAGAAGCACCGGCUAACUCCGUGCCAGCAGCCGCGGUAAUAC
rnacentral:rRNA from 1 species